GGAACCCAUUAGAAAGGAGCUCACUGCCUCUUCACUGCUCCACUAUGACCUUGGUGUUCACCUUGAUGCUUGAGAUGCUCCUGUUUCUGAGAGCUGGAGCCCAGUCAGUGACCCAGCCUGAUGACCACAUCACUGUCUCUGAAGGAGCCCGUCUGGAGCUGAGGUGCAGCUACUCAUCUUCUGUUUCACCAUACCUCUUCUGGUAUGUGCAGUACCCGGACCAAGGACUCCAGCUCCUCCUGAACUCUCAGGAAAGUCACCUGGAUCAAACAGGGAGUCAUAAACAAAAGGUGUGAGAGGGAUGGAUGUGGUGCAGAGUCCCCCAGCCCUGAGUCUCCAGGAGGGAGCCAGCUUUACUCUGCGGUGUAAUUUCUCCACCUUCCCAGGUAGUGUGCAGUGGUAUCU